rnacentral:rRNA from 1 species
AGAGUUUGAUUAUGGCUCAGAAUGAACGCUGGCGGCAUGGAUUAGGCAUGCAAGUCGGACGCCCCGGCUUCGGCCGGGGAGUGGCGAAAGGGUGCGCAACGCGUGGGGAACCCGCCCCCGGGCCCGGGACAAGCGCUGGAAACGGCGUCUGAUACGGGAUGCGGACCCGCCUGGCAUCAGGCGGCGUCCAAAGAUUCAUCGCCCGGGGAGGGCCCCGCGUCCCAUUAGCUAGUUGGCGGGGUGACGGCCCACCAAGGCUUCGACGGGUAGGUGGUCUGAGAGGAUGGUCACCCACACUGGGACUGAGACACUGCCCAGACUCCUGCGGGAGGCUGCAGUCGAGAAUCUUCCGCAAUGGGCGAAAAAGCCUGACGGAGCGAUGCCGCGUGAGGGACGGAGGCCUUCGGGUCGUGAACCUCUGUCACCCGGGACGAAGGAAUGACGGUACCGGGAGAGGAAGCCACGGCUAACUACGUGCCAGCCGCGGC